rnacentral:rRNA from 1 species
GACGAACGCUGGCGGCGUGCUUAACACAUGCAAGUCGAACGGUGAAGGGACCAGCUUGCUGGUUCUGGAUGAGUGGCGAACGGGUGAGUAACACGUGAGUAACCUGCCCCCUUCUUCUGGAUAACCGCAUGAAAGUGUGGCUAAUACGGGAUAUUCUGCGCCUGCUGCAUGGUGGGUGUGGGAAAGAUAUUGUUUCGGUGGGGGAUGGGCUCGCGGCCUAUCAGCUUGUUGGUGGGGUGAUGGCCUACCAAGGCGGUGACGGGUAGCCGGCCUGAGAGGGUGGACGGUCACACUGGGACUGAGACACGGCCCAGACUCCUACGGGAGGCAGCAGUGGGGAAUAUUGCACAAUGGGCGCAAGCCUGAUGCAGCGACGCCGCGUGAGGGAUGGAGGCCUUCGGGUUGUAAACCUCUUUCGCCAGUGAAGCAGGCCUGUCCCUUUUGUGGGUGGGUUGACGGUAGCUGGAUAAGAAGCGCCG